rnacentral:rRNA from 1 species
AAAAACAUGUCUUAUUGAUUAUAAUUUUAAGUCUAAUCUGCCCAAUGAUUUUUAUUUAAUGGCUGCAGAAUUUAUAACUGUACAAAGGUAGCAUAAUAAUUAGUUUUUUAAUUGAAAACUAGAAUGAAAGAUUUAAUGAAAUAUACACUAUAUAAAUAAAAUUAAAAAUUAAAAUUAAAAUUUAAGUAAAAAUUCUUAAAUUAUUUUAAAAGACGAGAAGACCCUAUAGAAUUUUAUUUUUUAUUAUUUUAAAAUUUAUUAAUAAAUUUAAAUAAAUUAUAAAAAAUUUAAUUGGGGUAAUUUUAAAAUUAAAUUAAUUUUUAUUUAAAAAACAUAAAUUAAUGAAUUUUUAAUCUUAAAAUUUAGAUUAAAAAAAUAAAUUACCUUAGGGA